rnacentral:lncRNA from 1 species
AGGCCAUCCUACAGUGCCAUCAUAGAAGAAACAACAAAGAAAUAAUCUUUGGAGUCUGAAAUAAAGAUUUUACUGUCAAUGAGCUACUGUUUGGUUAUAUAAUCUGAACACAGGACUUUACUUCAUUGUCACGUUUUCAGCAUCCAGGUAACUACACACCUUCAGAUGUGAUUUAUUUAAUUACUCUCCAUGGGAGACUUAGUCCUAGGAAAAUUGUUUUGGAACUAUGCUGUAUGCUUGGUAAACUAAAGAUUUUCUAAAUUCAACACACACUUUUGUUUCUAGAAUGGGUCUAGAUAUAAACAGAUACUUAGCUCCUUUGUCCUCCAAAAAAUAAAGUCACCA